rnacentral:rRNA from 1 species
GUGCAGCAGGCGCGAAACCUCCGCAAUGCGGGCAACCGCGACGGGGGACCCCAGUGCCGUGGCAUCGCCACGGCUUUUCCGGAGUGUAAAAGCUCCGGGAAUAAGGGCUGGGCAAGGCCGGUGGCAGCCACCGCGGUAAUACCGGCGGCCCGAGUGGUGGCCGCUAUUAUUGGGCCUAAAGCGUCCGUAGCCGGGCCUGUAAGUCCCUGGCGAAAUCCCACGGCUCAACCGUGGGGCUUGCUGGGGAUACUGCAGGCCUUGGGACCGGGAGAGGCCGGGGGUACCCCUGGGGUAGGGGUGAAAUCCUAUAAUCCCAGGGGGACUGCCAGUGGCGAAGGCGCCCGGCUGGAACGGGUCCGACGGUGAGGGACGAAGGCCAGGGGAGCGAACCGGAUUAGAUACCCCUGGUAGU